AUGAGCAGCCUCCGCCUCCGCCGCCGCCCCCACUCGCCGGCGGCAUCCCCGCUGGAGGACGACGACCUGCUCUCCGAGAUCCUGCUCCGCCUCCCCCCGCAGCCUUCCUCCCUCCCCCGCGCAUCCCUCGUCUGCAAGAGCUGGCGCCGCCUCGUCUCAGAUCCCCAAUUCCGACGCCGCUUCCGCCUCCGCCACCGCCGCAACCCUCCUCUCCUCGGCUUCUUCGACCGAUUUGAUGGCCUCUUCUUCCAUCCUACCCUGGACGCCCCUGACCGUGUUCCUCUUGGGCGCUUCCCCUUGCAGCGCGACGACGGCGACUACUUCGUCUCCCUCGGAUGCCGCCAUGGCCUCCUACUCAUCUUCCUUCCGGAGCGUCUCUAG
rnacentral:rRNA from 1 species